UUUGUAUUCAGUAAAAUGGUCAAGCAUGUUAAAAUUUUAUUUGAAAAUUAUGUUGUAUGCUCUGAAACCGUAAAAUAUGACUGGAUAAUUUAUGAAAUCUAUUUUUUUAUAUAUAUGCAUUCUCAGCAUGGCUAUGAUCUGUUCUGUUCGGUUCUGGCCCUGCCAAUGAGGAUUAUACAUUGGACCUGUCAACUUGUAAUCUGUGAGGAACCGGUUUCGACACCGUACCACCGGU
rnacentral:lncRNA from 1 species